CAAGGAAUCUUCCGCAAUGGGCGAUGAGCCUGACGGAGCAACGCCGCGUGGGGGAUGAGGCCCUUCGGGGUGUAAACCCCUUUUCUGUGGGAAGAAGAUCUGACGGUACCACAGGAAGAAGGACCGGCUAACUACGUGCCAGCAGCCGCGGUAAUACGUAGGGUCCGAGCGUUGUCCGGAGUUACUGGGCGUAAAGCGCGCGCAGGCGGCGGUGCUGGCCCGGCGUGAAAGCCCCCGGCUCAACCGGGGAGAGUCGUCGGGGACCGCACCGCUUGAGGGCGGUAGGGGCUGGUGGAAUGCCUGGUGUAGUGGUGAAAUGCGUAGAGAUCAGGCAGAACACCUGGGGCGAAGGCGGCCAGCUGGGCCGUCCCUGACGCUGAGGCGCGAAGGCGUGGGGAGCGAACGGGAUUAGAUACCCCGGUAGUCCACGCAGUAAACGAUGCCGACUAGGGCGUGGGGGGAGUUGACCCCCUCCGUGCCGGAGCUAACGCGGGAAGUCGGCCGCCUGGGGGGUAC
rnacentral:rRNA from 1 species